AUAUCUCUCCGUACGGGAAGGAUGAGAAGCUUCGACCAAGGUUCGAUUCGAGCGCAGCGAGAAAGCGUUGCCGCAGGCAACGACCCGAAGGGCGAAG
rnacentral:sRNA from 1 species